rnacentral:rRNA from 1 species
ACUCCUACGGGAGGCAGCAAUUAGGAAUCGUACGCAAUGGACGCAAGUCUGACGUCGCGACGCCGCGUGGAGGAUGAAGGUUUUCGGAUUGUAAACUCCUUUUAUGUGGGAGCAAGUUCUGAGAGUACCACAUGAAUAAGCAGCUUCAAACUACGUGCCAGAAGAAUCGGUGAUGCGUAGGCUGCGAGCGUUAUCCGGGGUUACUGGGCGUAAAGAGAUGCGUAGGCGUUCUUUUAAGUUACUUGUUAAAUCCCUCGGCUUACCCGAGGACAGGCAAGUGAUACUGGAAGAAUUGAGUAUAUUAGGGGAGAGGGGAACAUCUAGUGGAGCGGUGAAAUGCGUUGAUAUUAGAUGGAACACCAAAGGCGAAGGCACCUCUCUGGGA